AUAAUUUAUGUUGCAGACUUAUGAUGGAAUGUUUAUUAGAGAACAUUCUAGGGAAUCAAAUCUAGAUGUUAAUCUUGUAAGAACUAAAGAAAACUUACCAAUAUCCGUUCUGCUUGCAAAGAUGAAAACGUGAAGCUAUCUCCACCUCGACUUAGAUGAGUCUUGAAGAAGUGAUAGGAUAUAUUGCAUCUGAUGAACUUAUUAAGACCAUAUUGAAAAAAAA